rnacentral:rRNA from 1 species
CAGUAGCCGCGGGAAUACGAAGGGGGCUAGCGUUGUUCGGAAUUACUGGGCGUAAAGCGCACGUAGGCGGAUUGUUAAGUUAGGGGUGAAAUCCCAGGGCUCAACCCUGGAACUGCCUUUAAUACUGGCAAUCUCGAGUCCGAGAGAGGUGAGUGGAAUUCCGAGUGUAGAGGUGAAAUUCGUAGAUAUUCGGAGGAACACCAGUGGCGAAGGCGGCUCACUGGCUCGGUACUGACGCUGAGGUGCGAAAGCGUGGGGAGCAAACAGGAUUAGAUACCCCAGUAGUCCCUGUCUCUUAUAC